ACCCUCUCAGGUUUGCACCUGGAGAGUUUCCAGUACUCUACCAGUCUCGGCUAGAGGAGGGAGAGUCAAACAGAGGCCUGUCCAUUUCACUCCUAGCUUGGCCACUGGCUAGCGAGUGGAAGACAAUCUGCUACAAGU
rnacentral:snoRNA from 1 species